rnacentral:rRNA from 1 species
UAACGUUACCAAACUGUUGCCUCGGCGGGAUCUUCUGCCCCGGGUGCGUCGCAGCCCCGGACCAAGGCGCCCGCCGGAGGAAUCAACCAAAACUCUUAUUGUAUACCCCUCGCGGGUUUUUUUAUAAUCUGAGCCUUCUCGGCGCCUCUCGUAGGCGUUUCGAAAAUGAAUCAAAACUUUCAACAACGGAUCUCUUGGUUCUGGCAUCGACGAAGAACGCAGCGAAAUGCGAUAAGUAAUGUGAAUUGCAGAAUUCAGUGAAUCAUCGAAUCUUUGAACGCACAUUGCGCCCGCCAGUAUUCUGGCGGGCAUGCCUGUCCGAGCGUCAUUUCAACCCUCGAACCCCUCCGGGGGGUCGGCGUUGGGGAUCGGCCUUCCUUCACGGGGGCCGCCCCCGAAAUACAGUGGCGGUCUCGCCGCAGCCUCUCCUGCGCAGUAGUUUGCACACUCGCAUCGGGAGCGCGGCGCGUCCACAGCCGUUAAACACCCAACUUUCUGAAAUGUUGACCUCGGAUCAGGUAGGAAUACCCGCUGAACUU